rnacentral:rRNA from 1 species
UACGGGGGGGGCAAGCGUUGUUCGGAAUUACUGGGCGUAAAGGGCUCGUAGGCGGCCAACUAAGUCAGACGUGAAAUCCCUCGGCUUAACCGGGGAACUGCGUCUGAUACUGUCGGGCUUGAGUACGGGAGAGGCGAGUGGAAUUCCUGGUGUAGCGGUGAAAUGCGCAGAUAUCAGGAGGAACACCGAUUGCGAAGGCAGCUCGCUGGAACGUUACUGACGCUGAGACGCGAAAGCGUGGGGAGCAAACAGG